rnacentral:rRNA from 1 species
GACGAACGCUGGCGGCGUGCCUAAUACAUGCAAGUCGAGCGGACGAAUCGAAAGCUUGCUUUUGAUUCGUUAGCGGCGGACGGGUGAGUAACACGUGGGCAACCUGCCCUGUAGACGGGGAUAACACCGAGAAAUCGGUGCUAAUACCGGAUAACACGAAAUGUCGCAUGACGUUUCGUUGAAAGACGGCGCAAGCUGUCGCUACAGGAUGGGCCCGCGGCGCAUUAGCUAGUUGGGGAGGUAACGGGACACCAAGGCGACGAUGCGUAGCCGACCGGGAAGGUGGGUCGGCCACACUGGGACUGGGACACGGACCAGGCGCCUACGGGAGGCAGCAGUAGGGAAUCUUCCGCAAUGGACGAAAGUCUGACGGAGCAACGCCGCGUGAGCGAAGAAGGCCUUCGGGUCGUAAAGCUCUGUUGUUAGGGAAGAACAAGUAACGCAGUAACUGGCGUUACCGUGACGGUACCUAACGAGAAAGCCACGGCUAACUACGUGCCAGCAGCCGCCGUAA